GCUGGACAGACUGCUGCCACGCCGGCUGGCUAGCUUGCUCUGAGAAACAUACAAAAGUGACCCUGUCCAAAGGAGGAAGUGACUGGCAUUAGACUCUGCACUAGCAGCUGUAUUAUUGUGGAUGUGCUAACCCUGAGAAGUGGCAAAACUGAAUUUAUAUUGUUUAAGUCACUGCUGCCUAUAAGACAGACAGUUGGGUCAAAGGACAGAUUUGCUUGAUAAUUAAAUUAAUAUUUUCCAGUUACUCAAGCAUGAUGAUAUAAAGUUCACAUAUAAUAACCAUAUAGUAAAAGAUCUGUUCAAAAGCCAGAACCUGGAAGCAACCUAGAUGUCCCUCAACUGAAGAAUGGAU